rnacentral:rRNA from 1 species
AUUGAACGCUGGCGGCAUGCCUUACACAUGCAAGUCGAACGGCAGCAUGAUCUUGCUUGCUAGAUUGAUGGCGAGUGGCGAACGGGUGAGUAAUACAUCGGAACGUGCCCUGUAGUGGGGGAUAACUAGUCGAAAGAUUAGCUAAUACCGCAUACGACCUGAGGGUGAAAGUGGGGGACCGCAAGGCCUCAUGCUAUAGGAGCGGCCGAUGUCUGAUUAGCUAGUUGGUGAGGUAAAGGCUCACCAAGGCGACGAUCAGUAGCUGGUCUGAGAGGACGAUCAGCCACACUGGGACUGAGACACGGCCCAGACUCCUACGGGAGGCAGCAGUGGGGAAUUUUGGACAAUGGGCGAAAGCCUGAUCCAGCAAUGCCGCGUGUGUGAAGAAGGCCUUCGGGUUGUAAAGCACUGUUGUCCGGAAAGAAAUGGCUCUGGUUAAUACCUGGGGUCGAUGACGGUACCGGAAGAAUAAGGACCGGCUAACUACGUG